rnacentral:lncRNA from 1 species
CACUGUGUUUGUUUUGAUAGAUUUAUGAGAGAGAGAAAUAAAGAAGAGAGAAAUAGCAAAUAAAUAAAGUAUUUCUUUAGUUUGGAUGAAGAGAGAAAUAAGGAGAGAGAGAAAUUUUUUAGGUGGGUCCCAUACCAAAAGAAAUCUCUCCUCAAUAGGUGAGAUUUGUGAGUUGAAGGAGUGAAAAUAUGUAGUUUCCAAAAAUGUCCUUCUCCUUAUUUUUAUUUUUUUAAAAUAUGAAGGAUAAAUUAGUCUUUUUCAUUUUUAUUAAUUUCUCUCUAUCCAUAUUUCUACUCAUCCUCUUCUCUAUUUCUAUUCAUCCAAACAAUAUAGAAUUUCCACUCAACUUCUCUCUUAUUUCUCUCUCUUUUAUUUCUCUCUUCACUAUUUCUCUCUUUCCUAUUUCUUUGAACAUCCAAACACAGUGU